CCUAUGGGACAUACGUUAUAAAAUCAUUCUCUCCACACUGAAAUGAAAGCCUUUUUCGCCUUCUCUCUGGAUCUCUCGCCUCCCAGUAGAGGCACUCCUUCGGCAAGCCACCCUACCAACGGAGCCUUUCACUCGUUCUCUCCCCGAUGACAACUGUCAGUCUGUCGCUAUCUGAACAUGCAACAUUUCAACAAAAUCUAAAGGGAAAUUGGAAGCGCAGGGGCUGGAAUACUCUGUUUAAAACCACACAGCCAGACCUCCUUCCUGGGGAUCCAAGACUCCUCAACCACCACCACCUUUCAAACUGCUGAAGGGAGCUGGAUCAGCACUGACUGCUCUUGAAGACUGUCAAGAGAAGGCUGAAAACUGGAUCUUUAUGUGAUCUCUCCCAAUCUUUCGACAGUUGCAAUUAAAUAAAAAUUUAAA